UGCACUGAUAAGCACUAUAUUAAUAGUUGACAGAGGAAAUUAAAGAUAUCAGGAAGAGUAUCUGGGGCAGCGUAUGUCUUAAAGUUUGUAUUGUACUUUUGCUGAUACUCAGAAACAACUUACAAAUAACAGAAAUGUUGGGUGUGAGUUAAUAGAUAUUAAUAUGAAAGAUUUUUUAAUCAUUAUCUAUUUCUUUACAGGAGAGAUGGUUAUAAAACUUAGAAGUGUGUAAACAUCAAUCACUCAGCAAAAGUAUCAAGAUGUAAAUAUGCAGCAUUACCAUGCCACGUGAGACAUUUGAAUGAUAAAUUGACUUUAAGAAAUAGCCUGUUUACUAACAGCCUGUAAGCUCUGAGACCUGUACUCUAAGACACAUGAAAAAACGUACACACCUUAGGUAUGUUUCUAAUUAUAUGAACUAGUCCAUCAGCCUAAAAAAAGAAAAAGAAGUCCUUAAUGCAAGAAGCCACAAGAUAAAUAGUAGUUGUGGUUCUUAGUAAUUCUGAAAGGUGAUACUUGAACCAUCCUGCUCUGAAAUUAUAUAAAGUCAUAAAAAAAUCUAGUUUCGGAUCCUGCCUUUAGGAAGGAGUUAGUUUGAUGUAGCACAGAUUGAACAGCUGAAUAUUUCUUUUAACAUGCCAUGUAAUUUAGCUGUUCUCUGUCUCAGAGUUGCAGAAAACACUGGUCACUUUGCAAGCAGCCCUUUACAGACCUCAUCCUGGAAAAAAGGCUCAAAUACCUACUCAUUAUAUGCACUCAACUCUGGUGUGGUCUGUACUAAGGCAUAAUGGGUUUAGCCUUUAGGCUUGGUAAUUUCAUUUCCCUUAAUACCAUAUCGGAUGCUAUACAAUUCAGUCAAGCUAUGCUGAUUUAUACUACCUGACUCCUGGCCAGAGGAGCAUAUUGUAACAUGGCAUCAGUCACAUACCUAUAGAGGGUAUUUUAGUCUGCAGGCACAGUAGUGACACACAGACAUAAACCAGGACAGCUUUAAAUUAGCCAGCAGGAGAGUACUGAUUGAUCCAAGGCCCUAUGGUUAUUGUACCUCUUUCUCCCUUAUCCCUUGAAAGUAUCUCUGAAGUAGGGAGUCAGUAGGAUGUAACACCAGAAAGAUCUCCAACCUGAGCUGCAUUAUACACAUCUUAACAACAUCCUUUCCUCUCUGAGGUGUUCUUAUGACCUCAUGCUCACAUAUAGAUGAUGAUAUUGACCACAGUAAACUAUUUCAGUAAUUCCCUUCUUAAACACAUGACAAAAAAUAGUAGAUCUGUGUAUUUUUACCUCUCAGAAAAAAACCCUUCUGAAUAUGUUGACACGAAAUGGCAAAACGAGUCUUACAACGUCAUUCACUUAACCACUUCGUUCAGCUCACAGCGUUCAGUAAAUUUAUAUUUUCUAAUAGUGCUAAUAUGACAAUAAAAUAUUAUUCAAAUGUAUACCUGUGUUUUGAAAUGGAGAAGAUGUAAGUUUAAAAUCUCUUACCAGUCUCAAUGUCAGUGGCCCUACUGCAGGGUUACACAGGCCUCAUAACACAUGCCACAGCAGGGCAGAAUUCUCAUUAUCAAUCAGUUGAUAAUGUGCACGCAAGAAGGAUACCAUUCCCUUCUGCUUUCAUUUGUUGUUUAUUUUGUUCAUUUAGAUUACAAACCUGCAAGGGUAAGACUGUCCGUCUGUUCAUACGUUAUAGUGGAGUGGGAUUCUUUUUGGGACAAGAGGCCUUGCAGGGGGAUCUAGAUAAACUGGAGCAUUGGGCACUCAUCAGGGUCAUAAAACUUAACAAGGCAUGUUCUUGACUUAGGACAGAGUAACACCAGACACAAGUAUAAAUUGGAGAGGAGUGGCUGGAGAUCAGCCCUGCGGAAAGGGACCUCGGGGUGCUGGUCGACAUUAAGCUCAGCACAAGUCAGCAGUGUGUGCCCUGGUUGCCAAGGGGGCAAACCCCAUCCUGGGGGGCAUCAAACCCAGCAUCAGCAGAUGGCCAAAAGAGGUGAUUGUCCUGCUGUAAUCAGCAUUGGUGAGGCCCAACCUUGAGCGUUGCAUGCAGUUCUGGGUCCCCAGUUUAAGAACGUUGUGAAGGUCCCUGAAUGCCUCCAGAGAAAGGCAGCAAAGCUGGUGAAAGGUCUGGAAAGAGUGUCAUGAGGAGCAGAUAAGGACUUUGGGCUUUACUAGUUCAGAGAAAAGGAGGCUGAGAGGUGACCUCAUUGCUCUCUACAGCUUCCCGAAAAGGGGAUGUGAAGAUGGAGGUGCUGAGCUCUUCUCCCUGGAUCCAGUCACAGGACACAUAGGAAUGGUUCAAUGCUGAGCAAGGGAAGGUUCAGACUGGACAUUAGGAAACAUUUAUUUACCAAGGGGUGGUCCAACACUGGAACAGGCUUCCUAGGGAGAUGGUCGAUGCCCCAAGGCUGUCAGUGUUUAAGAAGCAUUUGCACAAUGCCCUUAGUAACAUGCUGAAACUUUUGGUCAGCCCUGAACUGGUCAGGCAGUUGGACUAGGUGAUUAUUGUAGGUCUCUUCCAGCUGAACUAUUCUAUUCUAUUCUAUUCUAUUCUAUUCUAUUCUAUUCUAUUCUAUUCUAUUCUAUUCUAUUCUAUUCUAUUCUAUUCUAUUCUAAUUCUAUUCUAUUCUAUUCUAUUCUAUUCUAUUCUAUUCUAAUUCGUCUAGUCUAGUCUAGUCUAGUCUAGUCUUUUAAAAUCUUUUAAAAUCUAGUCUGAGCUCACCACCUUUCACUCAUCUUAAGGUUCGUUUUGAAGACAGGUAGAGGGAAUCAACCUCUGGAGACUGCUGUGUCUCUCUAUUGGCUUAUGGGGUUGAGGGAGGGUGUCUACACCUAUGGCUAGGCUUUGAUUAGAUGGCAAACAUUGGUAGAGGAGAAUAUUAUUGUCUGUAACCAGGUUGGCUAAAGCUCCUAUAUUCCUUUGCAAUAAUAAUGGUUAUUAUAAAUUCUAAUUUAAGAUCAUGCUAUCAUAUAUGGCAACUGAACUUCUGUAAGAGUGUUGGGUUUUUUUAAAUCUCUUAUGGAUAUCUUGAGCUUUUCUUAAGAUUUCUAUGUUUUUGUCUCUCUAAUCUGUCCAAAUUUUUUUGUUCUGUGUUUCAUGGUAUGUUUGUGUUCUCAAGGUAAUCCGAAUGAUUUCUCAUAAACAAAACUGCCUUACUUUCUAACCUUUGCCAGCUGUGCACCUCAGUCACAACAGAUGAUCUACCCAAAAAGGCAUCUGAGGAACAUGAAGAAUACUGGCAAUUUCUGUGAGACAGAAGAAUCAUUCCCACCUCUCAUUAAGCUUUGAUCCUGAAAACCAAAUGUGUGGGCUGCACAUGAUAUCCGCCGAUUCGUAACUCAUUACAGGAUCUGAAUGGAAAUAGAGACUGAAAAGGACUGCCUGAGAGCUGGCAGUCAGUAAAAGAACUCGAGUAUUUUCCACAGAAGACAGUUGAAAUAUAUUCUGCUUGAUAAAAUCAGUGAGCGUUCCAUUCAUUUAGACAUUUAAUAAGACAGAAAAUGAGGAACAUGUAAUUUUUUAUUACAGGGUUAGAAGCAAAACAUUGAUAAUUAUCUACUCUGGAAAACUAAUUACAUUUUAAGGAGAAGUAAUUUCAUUAUUUUGGGACCUUCUGUGGCUAUCCUUAUAUAAAAAUAUAAACCAUUACCUAGUAUAUAUGUCAAAUUCUGUAAGACACCAGUUCAGUAAAUGCAGAACUUAGAUUUGUUCAGGUUAAUUAAAUUAAGAUAAUCUAAAAAUGCCCAUGGAAAAGAGCCAGAAGUCUGAAGUCCUUCUCUGAAAAGAUACAAAGACAUUUCUUGCUGCCUUGCUGGAUGCAUUUCCAAAAUCUAUUUAUUGUUACAGCAUAUGAUACAGAAUGUACAUCUUUCAAACUCCAUGAGAGAAAGGAGCAAAUCAGUCACACUUACAUCCUGCACACAGCACCUAGAAAUCAAACCACAUUCCCAAAUGUCUUGGUAUUAAAAACAUGGUGGAAAAGAUAACAUGUGACUCGAGAGUAACCUAACAAUAAAACAAUAGAAUGCCAAUUGGAAGUUUCCAGACAGCUGAAGGUAAGUAAGUAAAUUAGAGAUGAUUGCACUCAGUAGGAACAGAGAUUUCAACAAACCAGGCAUAAUCUGCCACAUCACAAAAUAAAUAUGCAAAAGUUUUGGGCUUGCAGACAAACCUGUCUUUAAAAAAGAUGUCAAAGUGUUGUUAUGGUGCUAAUCUGCAUGCCACAGUGUUUACUGUCACUAACUGAUGAAGAUUCUGCCAUCCUUAUUUACAGCAACCACACAUAUAGAACAGUCCCCCUGAGCUUAUUUUCGUGUCUAACAAAGGCAAAACAGAAAAUUCACGUGAAAAGAAAACAAUAGUUUAUGUUCAGUGACAGAGCCUGAGCAGUAAAAUCUGGUUCAAUGUCAUUUGGCCUGGAAAUUUACUGAAUAAGGAGGAAUUUGCUCAAGAGAUCCUGUUAAAAAUCAGACGAUUCUGAGAAAGGAGUACAUCUUGUUCAGUCAGAGUCAGUCCUAUACAAUGUCCUUUUUCAACACAGAGAUGUGAAAUACAGGACUGCUAAACAGGACAUGAUGAUACUGAAAAAGUGUUUAUGACAAAAAAAUGGUAAUGGACUGUAUUUUAGCAAAUCUUACCUCAGAGAAAAGAAGUGGAACUUAUAUUUGCAGGACAGAAAAAAAAAAAAAAAAGUGAAAUAAAAUAGGAAAAAUAAAAUAGGUUUGUUGAAAAUAAGAGAUAGAAGAAGAGAUACAUAGCUGCUCCCUAUUAGAUUAAUAUCAAGAAUAAAAAUUAUGAUAAGCUACAUAAUACAGACGACACUUCAGAAAGUGUCAAGAUCUAUUGGCAAGCUAAUUAGGAAAUGGAUGAACAAAACAAUUAAUUAAUUAUGUACUUAUUAAAUUAGAAAUCAACAAAAAUGCAAUCAAUUGUUAGGACAACAAACAUCAAUUAAUGAAGGACAAAUCCAAAGAGUUUGGAACUUGCCAGACAGAGUCUUCAGGGUUCCCUGCACCGUGGUGCUUAGGUCUGAGGCACAAAGAACACUUGAACUGUAUCUUCACGGCCAAGUGACUUCCUCUCCCUGAAGCUUGCCUUUUCUGGGGUCUGGUCUUUCUGGAUAUUUGAACCAGAAGAGGAUUUUUAGAGUGGGGCCGUAAUGUGCAAUGGUAGGUGUCUCCUUUCUAAAUAAUAUUAAUGAGACAUAAUCAGCCACUCUUUAAUGAAUAAUAUUAAUGAAUGACUGUGGGGAAAAAAUUACUAAAAUAUGCCAGCUAGCUAAAUAUCAUUAGUGGGAAGAACAAGAUCAAAUUAGAAAUGGAGCAGUCUGUCCUUCAGCCAAAAGAAAAGUAACUACAUGCUGGUUUGUCUUAACGAAAGAGCAACCAGCUGCCAAGGCAAGUGAUUCUUCAACUCCAUUCAACACCAUGGACCAAACCUCGAGGGCUGUGCACAGCUUGGGGCACCUCAGUACAAGAAAGACUUUUAUAUAUUGGAUGAGUGCAGUGAUGGUCACAGGGGUGAUCAGAUGAGAGAAGCGUGUGACAUAGGAGAACAGGCUGAAAAAGCAAGGUCUGUUCAGCCUAGAGAAGAGGAGGGGCAGAUCAGACCAUGUUGUUAUCUGCACCUACUUCAUGGGAGAGUGUAGAAAAAGGUGGUGCACAGUAAGGUGAGAGGCAGUGGAUACAUCCUUCAGUAUGGGAAACUCGAUCAGAUUUUAGGAAAAAAAAAAAACAUCAGUACAAGGGUAGUCCAAAAUCUCCAACCUUGGAGAUAAUCAAAACUCAAUUAGACAAGGCCAUAAACAAUCUGGAACUGCCCUGAGUGGGAAUUUGGACAGGAAGACUUCUGGAGGCCAUUUCCAAUCUAAAUCAUGCUGAAUAUAAGUUUCUGUGCAAGUGAAAACUCGCUUUGUAGCUUCCAACCUAAAGUAUUAAAGAAACUAACCAAAAUAAUAUUUUAAACACUAAUGCAAAUCUCCUGAAAAACAUGGCAGGUAGAACUGAGAGAAGAAAACUCAUAGCAUCUUUCCUUUAAAAGUUGUGUAAUGAGAUGGGAGGAGAACCUGAGCAACCCAAGAAAACAUGUGGAAAGGUAUUGGAAAACAUUUAAAUGCAACUGGUCUGCAAAUAGCUUGAAGAAAAAUGUGCUACAUAAAAUAGACAAACUGGAAUUGCCUAAACAGUAUCAUGUAAAUAAGUCUGUUUUCUUCCUUGGACCAAAAGAACUGCCAUAAAGGGGAAAACUGUAAAUAUAAUAAAUAUAAAACUUUGAUGA